rnacentral:rRNA from 1 species
GACGAACGCUGGCGGCGUGCCUAAUACAUGCAAGUCGAGCGGACGUUUUUGAAGCUUGCUUCAAAAACGUUAGCGGCGGACGGGUGAGUAACACGUGGGCAACCUACCUUAUCGACUGGGAUAACUCCGGGAAACCGGGGCUAAUACCGGAUAACAUCUAGCACCUCCUGGUGCCGGAUUAAAAGAGGGCUUCUUGCUCUCACGAUGAGAUGGGCCCGCGGCGCAUUAGCUAGUUGGAGAGGUAACGGCUCCCCAAGGCGACGAUGCGUAGCCGACCUGAGAGGGUGAUCGGCCACACUGGGACUGAGACACGGCCCAGACUCCUACGGGAGGCAGCAGUAGGGAAUCUUCCGCAAUGGACGAAAGUCUGACGGAGCAACGCCGCGUGAGUGAUGAAGGGUUUCGGCUCGUAAAGCUCUGUUAUGAGGGAAGAACACGUACCGUUCGAAUAGGGCGGUACCUUG